rnacentral:misc_RNA from 1 species
CUGAGUCCAGGUCUCUCGCGAGGCCUGACCUUCUAACCCAGUGUCAAAACUACACCUUGAAUGUUGCUUCGGCGGGACGGUCUUCCCUGACCGCCGGAGGAUCGGUGCUGCCGGUCCUCUGGAGCGUCGCCCGCCGAUGGCCUCUUCAAAACUACUUGCACUAAACCGUGGCGUCUAAAAACAUAUCCAUGAACAAUGGUUAAAAACA